rnacentral:rRNA from 1 species
UACGUAGGUGGCAAGCGAUACUCGGAAUCACUAGGCGUAAAGCGCAGGUAGGAGGUUUAGUAAGUCUGUUGUGAAAGCUCCCGGCUUAACUGGGAGAGGUCAACGGAAACUACAAGGCUAGAGUGUGGCAGAGGGGGGUGGAAUUCCACGUGUAGCAGUGAAAUGCGUAGAGAUGUGGAGGAACACCGAUGGCGAAGGCAGCCCCCUGGGUUAACACUGACGCUCAGGCACGAAAGCGUGGGGAGCAAACAGG